CCCUUAGAUGUUCUGGGCAGCACGCGCGCUGCACUGAUGCAUUCAACGAGUUCUUCCUGGUCCGAGAGGAAUGGGUAACCUUUUGAAAGUGCAUCGUGCUAGGGAUAGACUAUUGCAAUUAUUGGUCUUCAACGAGGAAUUCCUAGUAGACGUAGUUCAUCAGACUGCAUCGAUUACGUCCCUGCCCUUUGUACACACCGCCCGUCGCUCCUACCGAUUGGAUGGCUUAGCGAGAAUUUUGGAUCGGAGCCCGGGUGGUCGGCAACGGUCGCCCGGGAGAUCUGAGAAAUCAUUCCAGCUUGGUCAUCUAGAGGAAGUAAAAGUCGUAACA
rnacentral:rRNA from 1 species